UACCACACGUACCAGUACCACCACACGUACCACUACUACCACACGUACCAGUACUACUAGAAUUGGUACUACAACUAGUAGCGAUCCUACUAGUACCGCUUGUACUCACACUACAACUAGUACUACUGCAAGGCCUACUACAACUAGUACUACCAGUAGUACUGCUAGUACGACUACUGCACUACUACCAGUACUACAGCUACUACCAGUACUACUACCAGUACUACCGGUACUACUACCAGUACUACAACUACUACCAGUACUACAACUACCAAUACUACUGGUACUACUACCAGUACUACAACUACUACCAGUACUACAACUACUAUCUGUACUACUACCAGUACUACAACUACUACCAAUACUACUACCAGUACUACAACUACUACCUGUACUACUACCAGUUCUACCGGUACUACUACGACUACUGCUAUCACUACUACCGCCUCUAUAUCUACGAAAAAUACUGCUACCCCUACAACUACCCGUCAGUUACUACUACAACCACUACUCCAACUCAGGCAGGGUGUGCAGGUGACGUCACCGGUAGAGGCGGUCUGCAGACGCCGUCGGAACGCCCUCCGCCGUAGGAGGGGGUCGAUUCUCCGGUCCGAGAGAGCCAUGAGAGGAGGAGGAGCAGGAGGCCUCGGGCGGACUGGGUCACCCAAUUUACGGAGGUGGUCACGCUCCACUCCCACGGCAGUCGAGCUUGUACAAGGUUGGCCGCCUGUCCGAACGCCCAUGGCGUCAGCAGAGGCGUCUCCUCUCACCCGACCAGGAAGCGCCCCCCCCCCCCCACACUUUAUGGACGCCGCUGGAGGAGCCGGCACCGCUGACGGGCACAGAGCCCUCGGGCACGGCGAUCGACGCGGGAUCAAUCUUCACCGGGCCGGCGGUGGUGAUGGGGUUCCGUUGAAGGCUCCGCGGUCGAGCUGACGGCAGCGCGGAACCCAGAGAGAGAGAGACGGCGAAGGGUCCCCUCAGGGAGUGAUGUAGGAUCACCCUCAGCGGGGGCCGAUACCGCUGGAUGCCAUCGGAGCAGAAACCGCGCCAAAAUCCCCUAGGCCCAACGGUAGAAUCCCCGAGGCUGUAAAAUGGCCGUGCCUUUCAGACAAUGGCCUCACUCCCGUGAGCUCUGAAAUCUUAUUUUCAGCCCUAAGGCUGUCAUUCCCACAUUUAAGCACGAGUGUGGAGAUGAUUGUGUUCUCUAAGUAAUAAUUCUAAAGCAAUUUUACUCAAUUCCUAGUAAUGUGUGUGUGCGUGGAUUCCGUCGCGAUAUAGAAUGUUUCCUCUGAGACAAAUUCGAACUGUAAAAACAUGCUUGAGUAUUGCAAUUACGUUUUCAUUUGCAACAAUUGUAUCAUCUGUUAGCAUGUGCAUUGCAGUGUCACCUUGAAAGUAUGCUUGAAUUCCAACCCUUACACGUCACA